rnacentral:misc_RNA from 1 species
UACAGAGACUCCAAGCGUUAUUCGGAUUCACUGGGCGUAAAGGGUGCGCAGGCGGCCAGGUGUGUCUAGGGUGAAAUACUGCAGCUUAACUGUAGAGGUGCCUUAGAAACUACCUGGCUAGAGUAUCGGAGAGGCAAGCGGAAUUCCAGGUGUAGCAGUGAAAUGCGUAGAUAUCUGGAGGAACACCGAAGGCGAAGGCAGCUUGCUGGACGAUUACUGACGCUCAGGCACGAAAGCAUGGGUAGCGAAAGGG